AACUUUAUAUUCAAAAAUGAUAUUAAAAUGCAAUUUUAAAGGAAUAACUAAAUGUUAUUAAAGUUU
rnacentral:tRNA from 1 species